rnacentral:rRNA from 1 species
GCGUGUGACUGCGUACCUUUUGUAUAAUGGGUCAGCGACUUAUAUUCUGUAGCAAGGUUAACCGAAUAGGGGAGCCGAAGGGAAACCGAGUCUUAACUGGGCGUUAAGUUGCAGGGUAUAGACCCGAAACCCGGUGAUCUAGCCAUGGGCAGGUUGAAGGUUGGGUAACACUAACUGGAGGACCGAACCGACUAAUGUUGAAAAAUUAGCGGAUGACUUGUGGCUGGGGGUGAAAGGCCAAUCAAACCGGGAGAUAGCUGGUUCUCCCCGAAAGCUAUUUAGGUAGCGCCUCGUGAAUUCAUCUCCGGGGGUAGAGCACUGUUUCGGCAAGGGGGUCAUCCCGACUUACCAACCCGAUGCAAACUGCGAAUACCGGAGAAUGUUAUCACGGGAGACACACGGCGGGUGCUAACGUCCGUCGUGAAGAGGGAAACAACCCAGACCGCCAGCUAAGGUCCCAAAGUCAUGGUUAAGUGGGAAACGAUGUGGGAAGGCCCAGACAGCCAGGAUGUUGGCUUAGAAGCAGCCAUCAUUUAAAGAAAGCGUAAUAGCUCACUGGUCGAGUCGGCCUGCGCGGAAGAUGUAACGGGGCUAAACCAUGCACCGAAGCUGCGGCAGCGACGCUUAUGCGUUGUUGGGUAGGGGAGCGUUCUGUAAGCCUGCGAAGGUGUGCUGUGAGGCAUGCUGGAGGU